rnacentral:lncRNA from 1 species
GGAGGCUUGAUUUUUGAGCUUCCGAGCUUCUUUUGCAUCAUGAGGAAGAACUCCAUCUCUGAGAUAUGCCACCAGUGGGUCGAUCCAACUGGACUCAUGGUCAAUUUCUAUCACGGGCCGCAAUUCUUCCAUACUUGGGCACUUCAGAACUUCAAAGAGAACACCCUUAGGCAAUUCAGCUAGAGCGUAGCCAGCUUGGAGAGA